UACGUAGGCGGCAAGCGUUGUCCGGAUUUACUGGGCGUAAAGGGCGUGCAGGCGGUUUGUUAAGUUCAGGGUGAAAGCUCCCGGCUCAACUGGGAGAGGUCCUUGGAUACUGGCAGACUUGAGGAGGGUAGAGGAGAGUGGAAUUCCCGGUGUAGUGGUGAUAUGCGUAGAUAUCGGGAGGAACACCAGUGGCGAAGGCGGCUCUCUGGGCCCUACCUGACGCUGAGACGCGAAAGCGUGGGGAGCGAACCGG
rnacentral:rRNA from 1 species